rnacentral:lncRNA from 1 species
AGAGCAAAGGGAAGGGCACAGAGAGUGUGCAGGGUGGUCCUUGUCCCUGCCCAAGCUGCAAGAGGCUCUGCGAAGGGACUGAGGAGUCCGUCCUGAACCGAAGCAUGAUCCUGUUAGCUCUUCCAGCUCUCCAGGCGCCAACGACCAUAUGGUCUCGGUGACCCAGGCCUGCCCAGACGGAAGCCAUUCAGACCCAGAGCCACGUGUCCUGGGUCUCCCUGCCCCGGGCCACCCGCCACCACACCCCAGAGCUUGCUCACCACCGGGAGGCGCUCUUGUCCUGGACCAGCCUAGCCUGGGUUGGGACCUCCAGCCAGGCCAGUCAGCGAGCCACCAGCCCCACCAGAGUGGAAUGACAGCCAGGACUCAGCUGGCAGCGGGCAGGAGCUCCCCACCCGGGCUCACCUUCAGACCAGCGGCAGCGCUCACCCACC